rnacentral:lncRNA from 1 species
GGGGGGGGUGGAAGGAAGGGGAAGGAAGGACUACAAGGCCCGGCAUGCCCCGGCGGUGCUGCACGGCUCCCCGGGGUGCCGGAUGCUGGCCGUGCCGCUGACAGCGGAGCGAAGCGGAGCCGCGGUCCCCGCCGCGCAACGGAGAGGAGCGAGGGGCUGGGCGCGCCGCGCCGCCGGCUGCGCUUCCCCCCCUUUUAUCCCAGCCCCCACAAAGCCGGGAGCGGCAGAAGGUGGCGAGCGGUGCCGAAGGCUCCGGGACCCCCGCGGCCGGCCAAGAGGCAGCCCCGCCGGACGGCAGGAGCCUCCCCAGGCGGGCGGGCUCCGAGGGGCUUGGAGCGCAGCAGCCGGCGGAUGGGAGCUCGGUCGCACUGGAGAACGGUGCCAGCCCGGCAGCAGAGUGGUUCCCGUGCACCCAGGGCUCGGGUCCCUGCCAGCCUGGCAGCGACGGUGACAGCAGGAGCUUCAGAGUGAACCUGCACUGCAAGCACCCGCGCACCAGAGAGCUCAAGUGCAAUAGGAGGAGCAGCAGCAAAGCCGAGGGUCCCAGUGCCACCUUCCCUGACCCCCAUGUCAGCAACUGCUCGGCCAAGCGUCCCGCGGGGGAGGAGGAGGUCAGGAUGCGUGUGAAGCCC